AGCUUUGCACACUGGCAGUAUUGUAGCCAAUGAGGUUUGUCUGAGGCAUGAUUAUUGCUACUUGAAAACCUUUCCCUACUCAGAUGACCCUUACCCACUAGGCAUGCAAGAAAUUUCACCUUGUUUCAAAAGUUUAUAACAAAUUUCUGCACUUUAAAAUAUUUA
rnacentral:snRNA from 1 species